rnacentral:rRNA from 1 species
UACGAAGGGAGCUAGCGUUGUUCGGAAUUACUGGGCGUAAAGGGCGCGUAGGCGGCCCGCUAAGUCGAACGUGAAAUCCCCAGGCUCAACCUGGGAACUGCGUCCGAUACUGGCAGGCUUGAAUCCGGGAGAGGGAUGUGGAAUUCCGCGUGUAGUGGUGAAAUGCGUAGAGAUGCGGAGGAAUACCAGUGGCGAAGGCGGCCUCCUGGUCCUUAACUGACGCUGAAGCGCGAAAGCAUGGGGAGCGAACGGG